UACGAAGGGUGCAAACGUUGCUCGGAAUUAUUGGGCGUAAAGCGCACGUAGGCGGCUUAGCAAGUCGGAAGUGAAAUCCCUCGGCUCAACCAAGGAAGUGCUUUCGAAACUGCUGAGCUUGAGUAGUUAAGAGGAUCGCGGAAUUCCCGGUGUAGAGGUGAAAUUCGUAGAUAUCGGGAGGAACACCGAUGGCGAAGGCAGGUCUCUGGGCCACUACUGACGCUGAGAAGCGAAAGCAUGGGGAGCGAACAGG
rnacentral:rRNA from 1 species